rnacentral:rRNA from 1 species
GUGGGGAAUAUUGGACAAUGGGCGCAAGCCUGAUCCAGCCAUGCCGCGUGAGUGAUGAAGGCCUUAGGGUUGUAAAGCUCUUUUGUCCGGGAAGAUAAUGACUGUACCGGAAGAAUAAGCCCCGGCUAACUUCGUGCCAGCAGCCGCGGUAAUACGAAGGGGGCUAGCGUUGCUCGGAAUCACUGGGCGUAAAGGGCGCGUAGGCGGACUCUUAAGUCGGGGGUGAAAGCCCAGGGCUCAACCCUGGAAUUGCCUUCGAUACUGAGAGUCUUGAGUUCGGAAGAGGUUGGUGGAACUGCGAGUGUAGAGGUGAAAUUCGUAGAUAUUCGCAAGAACACCAGUGGCGAAGGCGGCCAACUGGUCCGAUACUGACGCUGAGGCGCGAAAGCGUGGGGAGCAAACAGGAUUAGAAACCCGGGUAGUCC